AUGAGAACCAACAUUUGCGAUUCUCAUCCAAUAGAGAGAGGGAUUAAAGUACACAGAAAUGGUAAAUCUUUAUCAAAGCAAUCUGGACUAGCUCUUGGUUCGGGCACCAUCCAAACUACGACUGAAACCUACACCGCUAACGAAGUUCAAGUGAUUGCCUACUUUCUAUGUCCGGAGACGCUUACUGCACUGCUUCUUCUGUCAAGACAGGCAGGCAGUUAUCAGGAUGUAGUCAAGGAGGUAGGCUUAGAGCCAGCAAUCAAGCUAGCAAAGUAUACCGCGAGCGAGUAG